UGGGGAAUCUUCCGCAAUGGACGAAAGUCUGACGGAGCAACGCCGCGUGAGUGAAGAAGGUUUUCGGAUCGUAAAACUCUGUCUUUUGGGGCGAACGUGAGUAUGGUGAACAAUCAUAGUCAGUGACGGUACCAAAGGAGGAAGCCACGGCUAACUACGUGCCAGCAGCCGCGGUAAUACGUAGGUGGCAAGCGUUGUCCGGAAUUAUUGGGCGUAAAGAGCGCGUAGGCGGGAUAGUCAGUCUGUUGUAAAGUGCGGGGCUCCAACCCGUGAUGGCAAUGGAACAGCUAUUCUUGAGUGCAGGAGAGGAAAGUGGAAUUCCCAAGUGUAGCGGUGAAAUGCGUAGAU
rnacentral:rRNA from 1 species